AUUGAACGCUGGCGGCAUGCCUUACACAUGCAAGUCGAACGGCAGCAUGAUCUAGCUUGCUAGAUUGAUGGCGAGUGGCGAACGGGUGAGUAAUACAUCGGAACGUGCCCUGUAGUGGGGGAUAACUAGUCGAAAGAUUAGCUAAUACCGCAUACGACCUGAGGGUGAAAGUGGGGGACCGCAAGGCCUCAUGCUAUAGGAGCGGCCGAUGUCUGAUUAGCUAGUUGGUGAGGUAAAAGCUCACCAAGGCGACGAUCAGUAGCUGGUCUGAGAGGACGAUCAGCCACACUGGGACUGAGACACGGCCCAGACUCCUACGGGAGGCAGCAGUGGGGAAUUUUGGACAAUGGGCGAAAGCCUGAUCCAGCAAUGCCGCGUGUGUGAAGAAGGCCUUCGGGUUGUAAAGCACUUUUGUCCGGAAAGAAAUGGCUCUGGUUAAUACCUGGGGUCGAUGACGGUACCGGAAGAAUAAGGACCGGCUAACUACGUG
rnacentral:rRNA from 1 species